UACGUAGGGAGCAAGCGUUGUUCGGAUUUACUGGGCGUAAAGGGCGCGUAGGCGGCAACUCAAGUCAGCUGUGAAAUCUCCGAGCUUAACUCGGAACGGUCAGCUGAUACUGUUUUGCUAGAGUGCAGAAGGGGCAAUCGGAAUUCUUGGUGUAGCGGUGAAAUGCGUAGAUAUCAAGAGGAACACCUGAGGUGAAGACGGGUUGCUAGGCUGACACUGACGCUGAGGCGCGAAAGCCAGGGGAGCAAACGGG
rnacentral:rRNA from 1 species